CUAAUAUUACAAAGCUUUACAACUAAUAAAUACCUAAUUUUGUGUUUGAAUUUUUUUAUAAUAGUUUUAAAAAUUAAUAGUAUUAUCACCUGAUUGUAUUUUUCAGAAUACAGAAACAGAUAAAAAAAAUUUAUCCAUUAAGCUGAAUACUAAGAUAUGAUGAAUUCUAAGCACCCAAUUUUUCUGAGAUUCUCAAAAAAAAUAUUUUCUGAUAAGGGCAAAGAUUGUUCCAUUUAAUCAUUUAAACUUGAAGUUUAAUUACAUUACUAGUUUUUUGCUGUUUUGCAAGCCUCUGAUAAAAGUUUACUAUCUAGAGACUUCUGGUUAUGGCCAUGAUGGAAUUGCUUGUAUUGGACUCACUUGCCCUCAAAAACAAAUAUAAAAGCUAAAAAAAAAAAAAAUAAGAAAAGGGAAGUACAACAGGGAGAGCUUUAUAUUCACCCUAGCUUCUCCCCCAAAGGCAUUUGCCAGUUCAUAGUACAAGAAGUAGAGUGCCAGCAAAAAGCAGCAAUGCUGCAGGGCUGAGGAGCCAGAGGUUGGGUUUGUGAUUGCCCAAGAGCCUAGAACUUGAGGAACACAGUCUCAGGCAGGAGAGAACGAUAGAAAUCAUAACUCAGACUCUGGAUAUACCUUUCCCUUGAGUUACUUAAUGAUAUUUUAGCCUUCAUAUACAUGGGAUAAGACUUCAAGAGAUCUAGCAGAAGCCACAAGGCCAAAAAUGUAAGCAAAAAUGUCAGCAGCAGCAUAGGACUGAGGAGACAAAGGGUGGAAUUCAACGCUUGUUAAAGUGAAGUGGCUCUGAUCAGCAUCCCAGCUCCUCAGGUGAAUUAAUACAUGGCCAAGCCCUAAGCCUGCUCUAGCCUAAUUUUAGAUCUGGUCUGCUUCAGUUUCACUCCAAGCAGACUUGACCUACAAUUAGCCUAGAGCAGAACUAAGGUGAUCUGUGUGCUUUCUCCCCACCUGACAGAAGAAAAUGUAACCUUCAUAGGAGAAAGAAAACAUACCCAGAGCCCCCACAAUUUUUAGUCUACAGGAUUCAGUGUUGAAUCAAAAAUUAUGAAACAUAAUAAUAAUAAAAAAACAGAUAAUAGAAACAGACUUAUGUGUGAUUCAGAUAUUGGAGUUAUCAUACUGGAACUUAAAAUAACUAUGUCUAAUGUUUCCAGGAAAAUAGAAGGAAUGAUAGGGAAUUUCACCAGAAACCUGGGGUCAAUAAAAAAGAGUUAAAUGGAAAUUCUAGAACUGAAAAAUAUAGUAACUGAAAUGAAGAUCUCAGUAUUGGAUUAUUUGAAGUGAACUGGAAGACACUUAUCUGCUGGAAGACAAGUAGAAAGUAAACAAACUGAAGCACAGAGGGAAGAAUGGUUAGGAAAUACAGAGAAGAGUACAAGAGACAUGUGGAAACCGUGAAAAAAAAAAUAAACAUGCAUGGGGUUGGAAUAAGAGAAUAAGAGGAGAGAAAAAAUGAGUUAGAAGCAAUAUUUGAAGAGACAGAAGCUAAGAAUUUUGAAAAAUGGUGUUAAAUAUUAACCCACAGUGAACCCUAAGCAGGAUAAAUACAAAGAAAACCAUACCUAGUCACAUUAAUAGUCAAACUACUAAAAGGAAAAGGAAGACAUUUUAAAAGUAUAGACUUCUUUUCAGGCCAGGCUGGACAAACAGGGUUGUUCAAUGGUCAACUGUAUUAGAACCAGUAAAAUACCACUUAGAUAGUAUUUGAAGGUAGACAGGCACUUUUGCACAUUAUAUUUAAAGAAUUUAUAUAUAUAUAUAUAUAUAUAUAUAUAAAAUUAAACAAUAUUAGUAGUUUCACAUGUAGUUAUAGGUCACUUUCUGAAGUCUAGAAUGGGUAAAUUCUAUCAAAUCAUAUACAGGUUUGAGUAUCCUUAAUCUGAAAUCUGAAGUGUUUGAAAUCGAAAACGUUUUGAG
rnacentral:lncRNA from 10 species